GUCAUCGAACUCGCCUCCCUCCUCCAGCGAGCUGCCCGCAGCCAGGACCUUCCGCUGCCGCUGCCACCGCUCACGCUCCCUCUGCUCCUUCAGCUGCGGGCAGGGGGCCAGAGGUAGGAACCCUCUCAGGGAGAGGCACUGAGGCCAGGGAAGCCCCCUAGCCCUGGGCUAACUCCUAGGCCAUGGUCAUGCUGCCUGCCUGUAGCUGUUGGCCCCGCUUUCCUCCUGCCUAGGACAUACAGGCUCCCCGCCUCACACCAUUCUCUUCCCUCAGGCUGGGAAGAAGUUUCUCUCUCCUGGGGCUGACAUCCAACCCCUAUGAUGUUCCUCAGUCCCUGCCUUCCUCCCACACACCCCAGUUUGGGGGUGCUCUUCCCAGGUAGCACCCAUCUCCCCUCAGUCCCAGGCCCAUCACGGCCCCUCACCAUGGCUUCCAUGCGCGCCCGCCGCUCCUCCUCCUCCUUCCUCCUCCUCAUGGCCUCUAGAUCCUGCCGGGCCUCUGAGAAGGCCUGCAAGAAGGUGUCAAAGAUGCCAAAGAAUUCGUCCGGCUGCAUCUUGCUGUCAUGCUCCCCGAAGUGCAUCAAGGCCUUGGCGAACUGUCAAAGGAGAGAACAGGGUUGGUGGAGAGUGCCUGGAGCAUGCUGGGCUCAGCCCUUGAGGUUAGCUGGGUUCUAGCCAGAGCAGAACCCAGUGCAAGGCUGGGGACUGUUGGCACAGGGGGCAGGGCUGGAAGAGGCGAGAAGACACCUCCAUCAUCAUCGAGAUCAGAGACAAGGCUAAGGAGAAACAGGUAAAGAGUUGAGUUCACUCACAGUCCACCUUACAGCCACCCUUGGGCCUGUAAGGGGUAGGCAUGAGAUCAGGGGUAUAGACCUUGGGAAGCCCUUCCUGAGGUCAGGAAGCGCCUGGCAGAACUCAGAACUUCAGAGAUCCUCUAGUUAUCAGGUGAAUAACCCCUCUGUGCCUCAGCUUCCUCCUCUGUAAAAUGGGAAUAAUAGAAUCUACAUCAUUGUGGUGUUGGGGAGUUAGAGGAGUUGGUGGCUAUAAAGGAGUAGCUAUACUUAUAUACUGAGAGCUACCAUUGUUAAUUCAACCCACUCAGUAUCCUCUAAGAAAGAUCUCAUUACUCAAAGUGUGCUUCCUGGACUAGCAGCAGGUUCACCACCUGUUGGAAAUGCAGAAUCUCAGAGCCCAGGCCUCCUAAAUGAGAAUCUGUGUUUUAAUAAGACCCCCAUACAUGAGGUCUAUGGGCAUGUUAGGGUGAGAAGCAGAUAGAGGCAGAGUAAUUGCGUCCACCGCUGAGCUGUAGUGUCAGAGUCUAACCCAGUGCUAUCACUUACAGCUGGGCAAUCUUGGGCAAGUUACUUAGCAUCUCUGAUUUUAGUGUUCGUAUCUGUCAAGUGGGAACUAAAACACUUAACAUGAUGCCUGAUAGCUGAUAAAUGGAUCUUUGCGGUAUGUGGUUGUCAUGGCUUGUCUUGUUAAAAGUAAGGAAAUGGUUUUCUCUCAAAGCUCUGUAACUCUGGGUUUGUCCCUCCUGGGCUGUCAGUGGUAGGAAUGGGUGAAGGAGCUUGUUUAGAUAAGGCUGGGUUGGCAAGCAGUGGGGGUUGGGGCACCCUUACCUUGUCCCUGGCCUCAUUUAGCUGGUCCUCCAGCUCUGAGAAGCUGAAGCUGGACACCGUGAUGAAGUCGCUCAUGACGGGGACAAACUUGUCAUUAGGCUCCCGCACCUGGCGCCUCUGAUACUCCAGCUCCUGAGGAGGGAGGGCGAAGUGCUGCUUAGACUGGUGCCAAGAUGAGAAUCAGGGGUGCAGGGGUCACCAUGUCUCCCAUCCUUUUUGUCACUCAUAGGACAUUGAGCCCUUUGGAAGAGGGAACACCCUGCGUCUCAAAGUUCUAAGGAUGGCAAAGACUAUGAGCAUUAGCAGCCCGCCCACCCUGCUGUCUUUUUCUCUAGAGCACUGAGACCCAACGUGUGACCUGGGGCCAGCAGCAUCACCUGGGAAAUUAUGAGAAAUACAGACUCUCAGACCCACAAGAUCAGAAGCUGCAUUUUAACAAGACUCAUCGUUACAAGACUUCAGGAGCUUAGGGUGCAGUGAUGAACAGUGUUUGCCGACAGCAGCCCUCACCCAGGUAGGCACUGACGAGGUACUCACCACCUCCACUGCUCUCAGGCCCCUCCUGAGGUUGCCCACCUCCUUCUCCAGCUCUGCUAGGCUGUGAGGAGACACAGAGGGAGGGGAAUGAGGACCAUCACCUCCUGCCUUGAGGUGCUAAGGCUGGUUCAGGAAGAGGGCAGAGCCAAGCACAGUGGCCUGGGAGUUGGUGAGCCUGGGUUCCAGCCCUGGUGUGGCCACUGAUGGCCCUGACAAAGCACCUCCCCUUCGUGCCUCUGUCUGUGCAUCUAUAAAUUAACAAGGUGAAACCUGCGUUCUAUAGAUCUUUCCAGGUCAGAAAUGUCAUGCUGCAAUAUGAGAACGUUUCCAACCUGUGGCUUCUGGCUUAGACUAUUUAUUUUUAUUACUACCAGGUAAUGCUUAUGAGCUCUUUAUGUGAUCCUGCAAGCAAUAGCAUUCGAUACCAGUGAGCCAUGUACCACUAUGUUUCUAGUUUUCCUGGAGAUGACAUCUAUCACCUAAAUGUUCAGGUCUAAUUUCUUGCCUAGCAGAUGCUGUUGGUGCCCCACCCACAUUUCCUUGGACCAUCCAUUGUAGGGCAUGGCCCCAACUCUUCCGACUGUAUGCACACUCCCUUUUUGAGGCCAAGCUCCUUCCACCUGUACCUGUGGCCAGAGAGUUAUUCCCUGCCCCUGCAGAGCCCCUCAGCCAACUUACUGAGAGGACAUGCUGUCUGAUUGCCCCAGCAACCUUGCCCUUUGGGUGGGAAAACUGAAGUAAGUAUUCCAUGCUGUUUCCCAGAAUUCCUCAUGGGGUUAAGCACCAAUUGCCGUGAGUGGUAACUGGCGUAAUAACGUUUGUUACUGGCAUUCUUUCUAUCUCUGGCUCGUUUCCCCAUUCUUCUACUGGUAUUUUCUGGAAGCAUCUCUGAAAUCAGGAUUUAAGAGCAAAUUGUCUUUGUUUGGUUUUCCCGGAAGCAGACCCUGAGACAGGAUAGGUAGUCAAGGAAGUGAGCAUGUUCUCAGAACACAGCAAGUGUGGUGGUGCCCAUACAGUCAGCACAAUAAACCUCAGCAUUCGCAUUGUAAUGAGCUCAUUCAAGCAAAGCUAUCUGCAGUAGGGACUUUCCCCUCUAGAAAGCAUGCACAUUUUGAUUUUACCUAUCCUCAUACUGGCCCCUUUGCUCAUUAUAUAAGAGUGAAAAAAAAACCACACCCCUAGGUAGAAAUGUAAGAUGCUAAUGAGACAUGCAAUAUAUGAAAAAGCACGCAUAGCUACUACACAUGUGCACCCAGAGGCCCACUCAGAGCCUGCUUCCUAAUAACAGUUCUUCCCACCUCCUUAUGAAUUAUCAUGUAAGUCUCCCAUAAUGGGAGUCUUCCUAGUGCCGGUCUUGGCUGUCUCAUCCUUACAAGAAGCCCACCCUGAAUGCUCUCUCUCUCUCUCAUGGUGUCCUGUCUAUUCUGCACCUAACUUACAAGAUAUUCUUCUUGUUUUGCAAUACAUUGUUCGAUGCUAUACCCCCUUUGCUGUGUGUCUGUCUAAAUUAUUUUAAACUCAGAAGACAAGAACCGAGGUCUCACAUCAGCCAUCAUCGAGCCAGAGUAGACCCCAAAAGAGGAAAGUAAGACAAGAAUGAGGGUCAUGAUGGGGAGAAGGAAGUUUUGGAGAGGCCCCUCACUUGACUUUGGCAGCUUCUGGAAGAUGCUGCAGCUCUGAAGGCAUGUUCAGAAUAUCAGGAAAAUGCUUCUCCAGGAUCAUGAUCAGAUGCCUCUCCACUCUAAGCCUCCUGCAACCCUCAGCCCUACCUUCCACUUUGGGCUUUGCCUCAGCCAGCCGCUCCUGGAAUUUCUUCUUGAAGAAGAGGGCUUGCAGUCGCUGCUGGUAGUGGUCAAUCCUGUAGACAAGGAGGUCAAUGUCGCUCUUCUCCGGGAUGAACUUGAGGAGCUGCAAAGAGCAGGCGCAAGUCACACAAGCAACUGACAGGAUCUCACUAUGUAGCCCUGGCUGGUCUUCACCUCGUGAGCUCAAGCGAUCGUGUCACUUCAGCCUCCAAAAGUGCUGAGAUUACAGGCAUUCAACUCAACCACCUUCUUUUGCACAUACUUGGAAAGAAGGAUGAUGCAGUUUUGGGCCCUCCGGCCGUCAAUGACCGACAGCUCUUUGACCUUGCGGGAAGCCAGGUAGAUGUCCUCGGUGGAGCCCAGCUCUUUCUGCAACCAACAAGUCAAGUGGACGGUUGAGAAUCAACUCCCACUCCCACUGCCCAACCCAGAGGCCUUCCUCAGGCUUAUGCUGAGAAGCUGGUUGCAAAGCCCCAGAGGGAACAGUUACUGACUCCUAGGGACUUUAGGCACAGCCCAAGGUGCCCAGGUGGAGAGCAUCCACAAGUUCAGAGGUCCAGAAUCCGAAAUACCUGCAUGUCAUCAAUCUCAUUCCAUACGGUGCCAGGGACACGCUCCUAAGAUUCAGGGUAAGGAGAAGACCCCACGGUUGGCCCAACUCCGUCAUGGAGAUGCCCCAUGCCUCCCUAACCGCACUUAUCUCCCAACUGCACAUACUACAACGACCAGGACUUCAGACCUUCAGAAGGGAGUCGGUUGCUCCCCUCAACUUCCAACUUUCUUGAAUACUCUGCUCCAGGGUAGAGGCCAGAGACAACCCCCUUCUCCCUUGUGCAUGGAGCCACAUCCCACCCCCAGCUUCUAGCAUCUGCCAGAAGGACUUGAGGCUCUUCGAGGUGGUAUAACUGAGGUCCGGAACCAGAAAGCGUUUCUGCUGCAAAGAAUCUUCAGGCUCUCACUCACGUGUGACAUCCUCCGUCCCACCCAGCUGGCAUCCCGCCUCCAGCCAGGCCCCUCACCUGGAAGCGGGUUCGCUCCGCUGCGUACACCUGAUAGUGCAGCAUGGCCUGCAGCACCUUCUUGUGGCCACCAGGCACGAGGCACACAGCACCCAGGAUC